GAAACCCAAAUUAUUAAACUCAGUUAUGAGAUAUGAAUGAGUAGUGACUGUGUAUAUGAAGUUAUUGUGUAUAAGAAUGUCGGUAAUUAGAAGGAAACCCUAAUUACUGUUGUACGUUGAUAAUUAGGACAAACCCUAAUUAUUAUAACCCUAAUCGGUUGAAGUUAGAGACUGUAACGACUGUGUUAGAACACACACAGAUAAUUAGAGAACCCUAAUGGUCAAUUAGAAACCCUAAUUGAUGGCGUUAAGAAACCCUAAUUAGAAAACCCUAAUUUU
rnacentral:lncRNA from 1 species